UACAGAGGGUGCGAGCGUUAAUCGGAAUUACUGGGCGUAAAGCGUGCGUAGACGGUUAUUUAAGUCGGGUGUGAAAGCCCCGGGCUCAACCUGGGAAUUGCAUUCGAGACUGAAUAGCUAGGGUGCGGUAGAGGGAAGCGGAAUUUCCGGUGUAGCGGUGAAAUGCGUAGAUAUCGGAAGGAACAUCAGUGGCGAAAGCGACGCACUGGACCACAACUGACGCUGAGGCGCGAAAGCUAGGGGAGCAAACAGG
rnacentral:rRNA from 1 species